rnacentral:rRNA from 1 species
UAAGGUGGUUAUAGCGACGGGGCUCACCUCUUACCAUUCCGAACAGAGAAGUUAAGCCCGUUUGCGCCGAUGGUACUGCAAUCCUGUGGGAGAGUAGGUCGCCGCCUUCCU